rnacentral:rRNA from 1 species
AACGAACGCUGGCGGCGUGCCUAACACAUGCAAGUCGUGCGAGAAAGUUCCUUCGGGAGCGAGUAAAGCGGCGCACGGGUGAGUAACACGUAGGUAACCUGCCCCCCAGUCUGGAACGAACUAGAGGAAACUACUAGCUAAUGCCGGAUGAGACCACGAUCCCUUCCGGGGGUUGGCGGCCAAAGAUGGCCUCUACUUGUAAGCUAUCGCUGAGGGAUGGGCCUGCGGGCCAUUAGCUUGUUGGUGAGGUAACGGCUCACCAAAGGCUGUGAUGGCUAGCUGGUCUGAGAGGAUGACCAGCCACACUGGGACUGAGACACGGCCCAGACUCCUACGGGAGGCAGCAGU